GUAUAGUAUUUGAUUGCACAGCAAGGUGACUACAGUCAAUAAUAAUUUAUUGUACAUUUAAAAAUAACUAAAGGAGUAUAACUGGAUUGUUUGUAACACAAAGAACGAUAAAUGCUUGAGGUAAUGGACACCCCAUUUACCCCAAUGUGAUUAUUAUGCAUUGCAUGCCUGUAUCAGAAUAUCUCAUGUACCCCAUAAACAUGUAUACCCACUAUGUACCCACAAAAAUUAAAAAUUAACAAUAAAAAAAAGACCUGGGUUGAAGUCUGGCCCUCCCACUCUGAAUUGGCACAUCCAAGUACUGUGUGAUUUGGGGACAAUGAGUCUCUUUCAGAUCUUCAGUUUCAUCCUAUAUAUUAUGGGAAUUAAGACAGAUCUAUGCUGGUAAUCCUCUCCAGGCAAAGUGCCAAAUAAUCUCAACAUCAGUAUUUUAUGUGCAAAAUGGAGAUAAUACCACACAUUUCACAGGAAUAGAACUUUGUAGAGUUUGGUACCUAAAUUAGUGUGAACCACUUAUUUUAUUACUAUUUUUUUAAUCAUUCUAGACAGAUGGACUGAAUGCAGUUGUAAUAACCUGCCUGGCCAGAAAGCCAGGAUGCUCCUGGGGGUCCCAGACUGUGAAGAGAGGCAUAACUGGGUAGGCUACAGGGAUUCAGACCUUGAAGGAAUGAAUUCUAGCAGGGCCAGGAUUGGCGUGCUUUGAAGGGAACUGUGAAAAAAAAUCAUCUGCUUUGGUUUUUCAGAGGUAAUCAUUAAAGGCAACUCCUUUGGCACAAAAAAGGAAUCAGCUCUGCGGCUCUUAUGAAUUUAAAGGCGAAGGAGGUUGCCUCUUGGCUAAGGGACAUGAAGAACAGCUUCAAGUUUAAACAAUCUUUGUGCUCACAGUGUGAGAUAAUCACUCACAGGCUUUACAUUAGAAUGAUUCCAGUGAAGCAUAAUGUUGGAAAGUUAGCCUUCAAGGUUACAGGAAGAUGGGUUUUGAGAUACAGCAACACCACGGCUUAGAAGAAAAUCAGUCCUCUCUGCUUCCUCCAGUCCCAGGAGGGUUGGUGUCUCUCUUUCUGUACUAAAUAGAUUGGAAAAAUUCCGCACUGAGAAUUUAUAUAGCAGUGGAUGAUGGGAGACCUGGUCCUCUAAAAUGAAUGCUUCUAUUGCUUUAGAUGAGAAAAAGAGUGAAGGGUUUUCCUUUAACAAAGACCCUUAUUGCUUAAGACCCUUCCAACAUUUCCUGAUGACUUUUUUUUUUUUUUUUUUUUUUUUGAGACAGAGUCUCACUCUGUCACCAGGCUGGAGUGCAGUGGUGCGAUCUCGGCUCACUGCAACCUCCGCCUCCUGGGUUCAAGCGAUUCUCCUGCCUCAGCCUCCCCAGUAGCUGGGACUGCAGGCGUGCGCCAGUACGCCCAGCUAAUUUUUUUUUGAGACAGUUUCGCUCUUGUUGCCCAGGUUGGAGUGCAAUGGCGUGAUCUCGGCUCACCGCAACCUCUGCCUCCCAGUUUCAAGCGAUUCUCCUGCCUCAGCUUCCCGAGUAGCUGGGAUUACAGGCAUGUGCCACCACACCCGGCUAAUUUUGUAUUUUUAGUAGAGUCGGGGUUUCUCCAUGUUGGUUAGGCUGGUCUUGAACUCGUGACCUCAGGUGAUCUACUGGCCUCAGCCUCCCAAAGUGUUGGGAUUACAGGCGUGAGCCACCAUGACUGCUGCAAUUUGGCAGUAGGGAAUUGGGCUCUGGAGAUGACCAGAUUUGAAGGCUAUUCGUUCCUGAUUCAUAAGAUAGUUAAGAAGGUCUACUUUAUGAAAAACCCAUUGACAUACUGAAACCUACCCAAACCUGUCACUUUGGUCAGCAAUAUGCUGCCCCUUGCAUCUCUCCAAACAAUCUUGAGUUUCAAUCUAUUAACAUUCUUUCAUUCAAUAUGUAUUUAUCGAGCCUAUUCUAGAAGUUAAGCACUGAGCCCAGCUCCAUAGACAGAGGAGUUUAUGGCUUUAUGCUCAGGGAAUUCACAGUUCAGUAGGGGAGGCAGACAUUAAUCAAAUAAUCACUAAAAGAAUUAUAUACCACAAAUUCUAAUAAAUGCUCUGGAAGUCACUAAUCAUGCUUUUUUAAGACCCAGCCAUGACAUGUCAACAUUUGUUAAUACCCAUACCACAUCCACCUUUGACCAGGCUGAAGUGCAGUGGUGCAAUCACAGCUCACUGUAGCCUCAACCUCCUGAGCUCAAGCAAUCCUCCCACCUCAGCAUCCUAAGUAGCUGGGACUAUAGGCAUGUGUUACCACACCUGGCUAAUUAAAAUAUAUAUAUAUAUAUAUAUAUUUUUUUUUUUUUUUUUUUUUUGUAGAGACGGGGGUCUCACUAUGUUGUACAAGCUGGUCUUGAACUCCUGGGCUCAAGUGAUCCUUCUGCCUAGGCCUCCCAAAGUGUUGGGAUUACAGGCAUGAGUCACUGCAACUGUCUAGAAAUGAGGUCUAUAAACCUAACCAAACUCCUCUCCGCUCUAACCAAACUCCUCUCCGCUCUCCCUGCUCCCAAAUCUCAGCUCUCUGAAAUAAACAUUUCCUAUUAUUAUGACAGAAGACAGCAUUAAUAAAGUUUUCACCCACAAACUCUUCCAGCUCUCCAGUUCCCCUCCCUCCACAACACCCACCCGUUUUCUUUUAGGAUAGUUAUUUUGGUUUCCAAGGGCAGAUAAAUGCAGAGACGUUCUUAUUUAUUUCUCAGCAUUAGCUGCUGUUAUUGUUUCCGUUUCAACGACCUCUUUCUCUUCCUGCUGUGUCAAUUACCACAGCCUGCUCUAAAAAGGCAAAGGCCCCUGCUGUUCUCUAGCAGGGAGGGGGAAUUUGUAAAUAGAGUUCAGGAAUGUCAAAAGGGUGACCCAGAUUUGUAGCACCAGAAGAAAAACUGGUUCAUUUUGAGUAUCCUAAGCCAUCACUCAAAUGUAGCCUAAGCUUGAUGUGGGAAACAGGUUUGCAGAAAGGUUAAUUUCAUGAAAAUAUAUAUCCUUAAUGAGGAGGACUCACUACUUGAGGACUUCAAGGCCAAGCAAAUGUUUAUCCCAAGUCCUCAAAUUACAAACUCUCUCUUUAAUGCUUGCCCAUUAAUUUCCAACCAGGGGAAGUGCAGAAUUGAUUUUGCUCCAGAAUGGAAAUCAAAUUAACUCUACAAGGGGAAAAACGUUAUCGAAAUAGAAACAGGCCUCAGUUGUUUCUGCCUUUUUUUUUUUUUUUUUUUUUUUUUGAGACGGAGUCUCACUCUGUUGCCCAGGCUGGAAUACAGUAGUGUGAUCUCAGCUCACUGCAACCUCUGCCUCCCAGGUUUAAGUAAUUCUCCUGCCUAAGCCUCCCAAGUGGCUGGGACUACAGGUCUGUGUCACGACACGCAGCUAACUUUUUAUAUUUUUAGUAGAGAUGGGGUUUCACCAUAUUGGCCAGGCUGGUCUUGAACUCCUGGCCUUGUGAUCCGCCCACCUCGGCCUCCCAAAGUACUGGGAUUACAGGCGUGAGCCACCCCGCCCGGCCUUGUUUCUGUCCUCUUUCUUAAAAGCUUUGGUACUUACCAAAAUUUUUAUCCCUCCUGAAGACUUGUAGGUAACAGACAAAGACAUUGUGGAAAAGGCGGAUGUAUCACAGACUUUCAGAGCUGCAAGUGAAGUUAGAAAUCUAGUCCUAUUCCCUCAUUUUACAGUUGGGGAAACAGAGGCAGAAGGUGGUGACAUGAUUUGGCUAACAGUAUGUGGCAGAGAAGGCACUAGAACCCAGUUCCUUGACUCCCAGGUGUCAUGAAGACACUACUUCCAGCAGUCGGGAUAAAGUGAGCUCCCUAAUAGCUUUUUACUACUACCACCCAAGGCUUCCCUCCAGUCUAGAACGCUGGUUCUGUAACUCUUCCCUGGUGUGAUCUACAAGAAGUAUGCCGUUGUUCUGGCCAUUUUCUCCCUCUUUUUCUCUACACUGCACCCUUUGCUUUGGGGAAUCACUCUAUGUGGUCUUGGUAGGGUUUGAAAUCACUGGGCUCGGCUGAGUGUGGUGGCUCAUGCCUGUAAUCCUAGCACUUUGGGAGGCCGAGGCGGGUGGAUUGCCUGAGCUCAGGAGUUUGAGACCAGUCUGGGCAACAGGGUGAAACCCCAUUGAACCCGGAAAGUGGAGGUUGCAGUGAGCCAAGAUCAUGCCACUGCACUCCAGCCUGGGUGACAGAGCGAGACUCCAUCUCUACAAAAAAAAAAAAAAAAAAAAAAAAUUAACUGGGCUCACACUAGGGUGGGCAUACUAUCCGGACCAGCCAGUUCUGGUACUCCACCUCCCUGGCACAGACCUUGAUCAGGUAGUGGGCAUGAGACCCAAAUGAAGCCAGAGUUGUCUUUACUAACAAUAUAUAGAUAUUGUGAGAGGGUCUCUCUUUCCUUUGUAUAUCACAAGUAGUGGAGAUGUAGGCUCUGUGCUGACAAGAGUUACCUUACCCACCAUGUGAAGAGCACCUGCCUGAAAAGAUGCCAACACACCAUGCUCAAUAAAUGUUACCCACUAUAAUGUGUAUAUUCCUCUUUUGUGGAAGAAGCCAGGUCUCUGCAGACUAAUGGGUAAGUGGGGCAAGGGAGCAAAAUCAAAACCAA
rnacentral:lncRNA from 1 species